GACGAACCGUGCGAACGUUGUUCGGAUUCACUGAGCUUAAAGGGCGCGUAGGCGGGCGACCAAGUCAGGGGUGAAAUCUUUCGGCCCAACCGGAAAAGUGCCCCUGAUACUGGCCGCCUCGAGGGGGGUAGGGGCAUGCGGAACUUCCGGUGGAGCGGUGAAAUGCGUAGAUAUCGGAAGGAACGCCGGUGGCGAAAGCGGCGUGCUGGACCCCUUCUGACGCUGAGGCGCGAAAGCCAGGGGAGCAAACAGG
rnacentral:rRNA from 1 species